GACGAACGCUGGCGGCGUGCUUAACACAUGCCAGUCGAACGGAAAGGCCCUGCUUUUGUGGGGUGCUCGAGUGGCGAACGGGUGAGUAACACGUGAGUAACCUGCCCUUGACUUUGGGAUAACUUCAGGAAACUGGGGCUAAUACCGGAUAGGAGCUCCUGCUGCAUGGUGGGGGUUGGAAAGUUUCGGCGGUUGGGGAUGGACUCGCGGCUUAUCAGCUUGUUGGUGGGGUAGUGGCUUACCAAGGCUUUGACGGGUAGCCGGCCUGAGAGGGUGACCGGCCACAUGGGGACUGAGAUACGGCCCAGACUCCUACGGGAGGCAGCAGUGGGGAAUAUUGCACAAUGGGCGGAAGCCUGAUGCAGAAACGCCGCGUGCGGGAUGACGGCCUUCGGGUGGUAAACCGCUUUCGCCUGUGACGAAGCGUGAGUGACGGUAAUGGGUAAAGAAGCACCGGCGAACUACGU
rnacentral:rRNA from 1 species